rnacentral:rRNA from 1 species
CCUACGGGAGGCAGCAGUAGGGAAUCUUCCGCAAUGGACGAAAGUCUGACGGAGCAACGCCGCGUGAACGAUGAAGGCCUUCGGGUCGUAAAGUUCUGUUGUUAGGGAAGAACAAGUGCUAGUUGAAUAAGCUGGCACCUUGACGGUACCUAACCAGAAAGCCACGGCUAACUACGUGCCAGCAGCCGCGGUAAUACGUAGGUGGCAAGCGUUGUCCGGAAUUAUUGGGCGUAAAGCGCGCGCAGGCGGUUUCUUAAGUCUGAUGUGAAAGCCCCCGGCUCAACCGGGGAGGGUCAUUGGAAACUGGGAAACUUGAGUGCAGAAGAGGAAAGUGGAAUUCCAAGUGUAGCGGUGAAAUGCGUAGAGAUUUGGAGGAACACCAGUGGCGAAGGCGACUUUCNGGUCUGUAACUGACGCUGAGGCGCGAAAGCGUGGGGAGCAAACAGGAUUAGAUACCCUGGUAGUCCACGCUGUAAACGAUGAGUGCUAAGUGUUAGAGGGUUUCCGCCCUUUAGUGCUGAAGUUAACGCAUUAAGCACUCCGCCUGGGGAUACGGUCGCAAGACUGAAACUUGAAAGAUGACGNGNGAGAGNGCGAGACGACGAGAGGAG